rnacentral:rRNA from 1 species
UGAUGGCGUGCCUUUUGAAGAAUGAGCCUGCGAGUCAGCGGCAUGUCGCGAGGUUAACCCGUGUGGGGUAGCCGUAGGGAAACCGAAUCCUAAUGGGGUGUCAAGUGGCAUGUCCUGGACCCGAAGCGGGGUGAUCUACCCAUGGCCAGUGUGAAGCAGCUGUAAGAGGUUGUGGAGGCGCGAACCCACGUAGGUUAAAAACUGCGGGGAUGAGCUGUGGGUAGGGGUGAAAGGCCAAUCAAAC